rnacentral:misc_RNA from 3 species
CCGAGUUUACAACUCCCAAACCCCAUGUGAACAUACCUGUUUCGUUCCCUCGGCGGUGUCCGGCAACGGCCCGCCAGAGGACCCAACAAACUCUUUUGAAUUUUUCAGUAUCUUCUGAGUGAAAAAAACAAUAAAUCA